UGGGGAAUAUUGGACAAUGGGCGAAAGCCUGAUCCAGCCAUGCCGCGUGUGUGAAGAAGGUCUUCGGAUUGUAAAGCACUUUAAGUUGGGAGGAAGGGCAUUAACCUAAUACGUUAGUGUUUUGACGUUACCGACAGAAUAAGCACCGGCUAACUCUGUGCCAGCAGCCGCGGUAAUACAGAGGGUGCAAGCGUUAAUCGGAAUUACUGGGCGUAAAGCGCGCGUAGGUGGUUUGUUAAGUUGGAUGUGAAAGCCCCGGGCUCAACCUGGGAACUGCAUUCAAAACUGACUGACUAGAGUAUGGUAGAGGGUGGUUGAAUUUCCUGUGUAGCGGUGAAAUGCGUAGAUAUAGGAAGGAACACCAGUGGCGAAGGCGACCACCUGGACUAAUACUGACACUGAGGUGCGAAAGCGUGGGGAGCAAACA
rnacentral:rRNA from 1 species